AACGAACGCUGGCGGCAUGCCUAACACAUGCAAGUCGAACGAGACCUUCGGGUCUAGUGGCGCACGGGUGCGUAACGCGUGGGAACCUGCCCUUAGGUUCGGAAUAACUCCCCGAAAGGGGUGCUAAUACCGGAUAAUGUCCUCGGACCAAAGAUUUAUCGCCUUUGGAUGGGCCCGCGUUGGAUUAGCUAGUUGGUAGGGUAAAAGCCUACCAAGGCGACGAUCCAUAGCUGGUCUGAGAGGAUGAUCAGCCACACUGGGACUGAGACACGGCCCAGAAUCCUACGGGAGGCAGGAGUGGGGAAUAUUGGACAAUGGGGGAAAGGCUGAUCCAGCAAUGCCGCGUGAGUGAUGAAGGCCUUAGGGUUGUAAAGCUCUUUUACCCGGGAUGAUAAUGACAGUACCGGGAGAAUAAGCUCCGGCUAACUACGUG
rnacentral:rRNA from 1 species